GCUGGGCGUGGUGGCACACGCCUUUAAUCCCAGCUACUUGGGAGGCUGAGGCAGGAGAAUUGCUUGAGCCCGGGAGACAGAGGUUGCAGUGAGCCAAGAUCGUGCCACUGCACUCCUGCCUGGCCGACAGAGCAAGACUCUGUCUCAA
rnacentral:SRP_RNA from 1 species